GAUGAACGCUAGCUACAGGCUUAACACAUGCAAGUCGCAGGGUAACAUGAGGACAGCUUGCUUUCCUUGAUGACGACUGGCGCACGGGAUAGUAACGCGUAUCCAACCUUCCCAUAACUACGGGAUAACCCGUUGAAAGACGGCCUAAUACCGUAUGAUAUCGUGUGCUGACAUCAAAUAACGAUUAAAGGCUUAGCGGUUAUGGAUGAGGAUGCGUCUGAGUAGCUUGUUGGCGGGGUAACGGCCCACCAAGGCGACGAUCAGUAGGGGUUCUGAGAGGCAGCUCCCCCACAUCGGAACUGAGACACGGUCCAAAAUCCGAGGGGAGGGAGCAGUGAGGAAGAUUGGUGAAGGGGCGCGAGCCUGAACCAGCCAAGUAGCGUGCAGGACGACGGCGCUAGGGGUUGUAAACUGCUUGUAGGUGAGGAGAAAGGGCGUGACGUGGCAUGUAUUGAAGGUACCACAUGAAUAAGGACCGGCUAAUUCCGUG
rnacentral:rRNA from 1 species